rnacentral:rRNA from 1 species
UGUAGUAAUACAAGGCAGACGGCUCAGUAACGCGUAGUCAACCUACCUUAUGGACGGGGAUAACCUCGGGAAACUGAGAAUAAUACCCGAUAGAACAUUAUGCCUGGAAUGGUUUAUGUUUCAAAUAAUUUAUUGCCGUAAGAUGGGACUGCGGCCUAUCAGUUUGUUGGUGAGGUAAUGGCCCACCAGGACUAUUACAGGUACGGGCUCUGAGAGGAGUAGCCCGGAGAUGGGUACUGAGACACGGACCCAGGCCCUAUGGGGCGCAGCAGGCGAGAAAACUUUGCAAUGUGCGAAAGCACGACAAGGUUAAUCCGAGUGGUUUCUGCUAAAGGAACCUUUUGUCAGUCAUAGAACCACUGAUGAAUAAGGGGUGGGCAAGUUCUGGUGUCAGCCGCCGCGGUAAAACCAGCACCUCAAGUGGUCAGGAUGAUUAUUGGGCCUAAAGCAUCCGUAGCCUGCUUUGUUAGUUUUCGGUUAAAUCCAUAUGCUCAACGUAUGGGCUGCCGGGAAUACUGCAAAGCUAGGGAGUGGGAGAGGUAGACGGUACUCGGUAGGAAGGGGUAAAAUCCUUUGAUCUAUUGAUGACCACCUGUGGCGAAGGCGGUCUACCAGAACACGUCCGACGGUGAGGGAUGAAAGCUGGGGGAGCAAACCGGAUUAGAUACCCGGGUAGUCCCAGCUGUAAACUAUGCAAACUCGGUGAUGCAUUGGCUUGAUGCCAAUGCAGUGCCGCAGGGAAGCCGUUAAGUUUGCCGCCUGGGAAGUACGUACGCAAGUAUGAAACUUAAAGGAAUUGGCGGGGGAGCACCACAAGGGGUGAAGCCUGCGGUUCAAUUGGA